CUGGUCCCUCGUUGGCCUGGACCCCUGUUAAGGCCGGACCCCGCCCUUGGAUCUGGGCUAAAGCUCGUCCCUCUGUUUGAAGGUCUCUUUGGCGGCCCUUGGGCUUAAAGGAAAUAAAGGAGUGAAGGAUGGUGUCGGCUUCAUUCAAUGUCUGCCUGGCCAAUAUUUUGUCAAUGGAUUUUGUGAGACGUGCCCGAAAGGAACCUACAUGGACCAUCCCAACAAUGCGACAGCGUGCAAGCCCUGUGACAUAGAAUGCGGCAUAAAUGAGCAGCUCGAUGAUGACUACACUUCGUGCUCCAAGGAAAGGUGUCGGUGCUCUAAGGGGUACUGCAAAGACAGGGAUCACCCGGAGGGCUGCUAUCUCUGCAGCAGGUACUGCAGCAC